rnacentral:snRNA from 1 species
AGACUUAAUCUAUGUGGGGAUCCUGCAAAUGGAUUUUGGCCUUUCACUGUCUUCCUUCGCAUGAUUUUCCCAGGCUGAGGUUUAUCUAUUGCACUGUGGAUGUGCUGAGACCUGUGAUUUCCCCAAAUGUGAGAUCCUUGACUACAUAAUUUGUGGUAAUGAGGACUGUGUUUUCACUCUCCCCU